rnacentral:rRNA from 1 species
AACGAACGCUGGCGGCAGGCUUAACACAUGCAAGUCGAGCGCCCCGCAAGGGGAGCGGCAGACGGGUGAGUAACGCGUGGGAAUCUACCCAUCUCUACGGAAUAACGCAUGGAAACGUGUGCUAAUACUGUAUACGUCCUUCGGGAGAAAGAUUUAUCGGAGAUGGAUGAGCCCGCGUUGGAUGAGCUAGUUGGUGGGGUAAAGGCCUACCAAGGCGACGAUCCAUAGCUGGUCUGAGAGGAUGAUCAGCCACACUGGGACUGAGACACGGCCCAGACUCGUACGGGAGGCAGCGGUGGGGAAUAUUGGACAAUGGGCGCAAGCCUGAUCCAGCCGUGCCGCGUGAGUGAUGAAGGCCCUAGGGUUGUAAAGCUCUUUCACCGGUGAAGAUAAUGACGGUAACCGGAGAAGAAGCCCCGGCUAACUUCGUGCCAGCCGCCGCGGUAAGAC